GAACCUGGUACGGAAACCACUCCGCGUAACCUGUCUGUACGAUGAAGCAGACGUGCAAAAUGCAUUGGUAAAUUGUGGAACUAGUUUUCCAGGUCGUUGGUAUUACAUACGUUGGCUCAAGCUGGCUUCUCGGGUGCUGCGGGAAGCGUACUGCAUUUCAAAAGCAGCGGGGACGUUUCUGCGUGCAAACUGCGGCAACGGAGAGGUAUUCUACUGUCCGUGCUGUUGACUGCUGGUGACCGGAAAGCAUUCAGGCAAACGAUUCGUUUGGUGAGAUCCUAGAGCUUCAGCGCACGUAUGUAUCGUUCGACACCAAAGCGCUCCGCGGCCUACAAAGUAAGAGAGGCACGCAGUUGCAUAAAGUGCGAAUCUGAUCGCCAGAGACUGGGCACUGCUUCGUUUGACAGCGAAGCUCGUCGGCAAGCUAUCCAGUUCGAGCGCCUCAGAGGGCUUCUACUUGCCUGCGCUGUCUCAGAUGUGACGUCGACCGACGGUAUCUGAGGUUGGGUUCAUGGUGGCAUUGGAGGCACCUACGAGUAGCCGACAACAGAAUAGGUGCAACGGAAUACGUCAGCAAAACUGCGUCUGAAUAUGUUUACUCCUAAAUACUGCAACCGUAGGGUGCGACUGCAUCUCAUCACAUCGUCAGCUCAAAUAGUGUCCUGGUCCGGGUGUUGUUCGCCGCGUUCUCAGUGGCAUGAGUUUUCGAGGCCUAUGACGUACGAGCACUCGCGCAUUGGAGAAACCACCAGUGUCUGAGCUUCUUGACUCUAGUUUGACUGCAUAAGCGAGCACAGAAGCAUUGAAGCUUUUGAUCUGCAUAUCGCCAGUGUCAGCAGCAAGCAUCUCAUCGUGUGCAGCCGCUAUCGCGGAUGGUGCAGGGCAUCCUCAGCAAUGUCACAGUCUUGCUCGGACACUUGGUGGCGGAUCUGAUCCUCCCUACGAAUCUGCGCUGCACGGCGGUCAAUAUGCAGCGUUCAAUGAGGCAUAAUGCAUCGUCGGCACACCUCACACCCUACUACCUCCUCUCUGCGGUACCAUUGAUCGCCGAUCGCGCGCACGAGACGGAAAAGCAGUAGACACGAACUGCAAUGCACUUUGAGCGCCUCUCGUGGCAGACCGGAUAGCGCUACCAGAGACAGUGCUCGUCCAGAUGCUGGUCGGGAUUGGUGCGCGGACCAUGUCGCGUCCGUGCACGCUUGCAGCGUCUAGUAUGCAGCGCAGGUCAAGCACAUGUCACAAUCGAGACACAAUUUUUCCAUGAUGAUCCUUCCAUCAGUCUAGUUUGGCUCUAUGAGCCGGCCUUUCUGUCGUCUGUGCCGGCGAGUCUGUUAUGGUUGCGUGUCGCCUUGCUGCAGCCAAAUGCCGUUUUCUUUGCUUUAGCAUAUGCCCAUACAAAAACGGCAAUCCGGGGAUGUAUCCCAGUAACGCUAUCGCACAAAAGAUCGAAAAGUCGAAGGCGAAGUUAAAGGUAUUGGGCAUCCUAACACGCAAAAAGUUCGUUUCGCGAAUCCAAGGUAGUGCACCAAGCACUAGCCAAAUUUCGGCGCUAACCCCUAUUGGAUACAAAACCAAGAACAGCGAAUACCGAAGCCAUGUAAGCCAACGAGGCACGACUUCGUGAACAGAGAGCAGUCCACGGCUGGCCAUGUUUCCGUAAGAUAGCACAGUGAAAUAUGCAUAGCGCACAACCUCCGUAGCAGACCAAGCUGAGAGCAGCGCUAAAUACCCGGUAUUGAUGCAUUCUUCAUACUUCGAGGCAAAGCUUGCGACGAUAAACCACAGGACAAAGA
rnacentral:misc_RNA from 1 species